rnacentral:rRNA from 1 species
CCUACGGGAGGCAGCAGUGGGGGAUAUUGCACAAUGGGGGGAACCCUGAUGCAGCGACGCCGCGUGGGUGAAGGAGCGUUUCGGCGCGUAAAGCCCUAUCGGCAGGGAAGAAGAUGACGGUACCUGACCAAGAAGCCCCGUCUAACUACGUGACAGCAACCGCGGAAACACGUCGGGGGCCAGCGUUAUACGGAUUUACUGGGUGUAAAGGGGGCGCAGACGGCAAUGCAAGCCAGGAGUGAAAGCCCGGGGCCCACCACCUGGACUGCCCUUGGAACUGCAUGGCUGGAGUAGAGGAGGGGCAGGGGGAAUUCCGAGUGUAGCGGUGAAAUGCGUAGAUAUUAGGAGGAACACCGGUGGCGAAGGCGGCCUGCUGGACUGUGACUGACGUUGAGGCCCGAAGGCGUGGGGAGCAAACAGGAUUAGAUACCCCUGUAGUC